UGUGGCGAUGGGAAAUACUGCGCGUCAAUAGUUUGGCACUUCCGGUUUAGUUUGGACACUUCCGGUUUACGAUGUUAGCUCAGUUCAUAAAAAAUGAGAAGUAGACGAGUUGUGUUAACUCUUACAAGCCUUGGAAAAGAGAAGUCUGGCCAAAACAAACAAGCGGACUUCCUCUCGUCUUCUCACGUGGAAACAAAGAGUUAGCAUUUGUCAGUCUGGCCCCCAAAUGAACGGAACAUGGCGCCCAUCAGACGUUAGAACCGUCUUCAGGCACGGACAGAACAUUCCUGGAAAGGAGGAUUCUCAAAUUCAAGCCCCUGAUUAAGUUUUUCAUUCAAGCGGCAAAAGGUUUGGACAAUUCUGAAGGCCCCAGACUGGCAGGGGCCCUACAGAGACACACAAAGAUAACAUAAACACGCAUCGGGAGCAAACGUCAGCUGACCUCCGACACGUCUUUACAUCCCCGAGUACUUUGGCUUUGGAGAGACUCGCAGAGGAAAAAAAGCAGCAACAAAAAGGUGAGCGCCUACCGCACACAGUAGGAGGAGGACGUGAACAUCAGGAAGAGGAUGAGAACCAGGAGAAGGCCGGUGACUCCUGGAACUGGAAGGAAAUCAUACAAGCUGGUCAGUGGUCUGGAAACAUGCCUUUGGAAAUGAGUUUGAGGGUCUUACCUGUGGUUAGAAUUAUUAGCUUUGGGUCCUGUGGGGACAUAAAACUCUCAUAAAUGUGGCCUUCAGUCCUUAAAUAGUCUUGUCUUAUAUCAGGGGUGUCCAAACUCUUGGAGGCAUCGGGCUUUAAACCCAGAUUUUGUAUUUUCGAUACUUUUCUAAAUAAAGGGGACCACAAAAAAAAGGAAUUAUUGUCUUAAUC